rnacentral:rRNA from 1 species
AGCGAACGCUGGCGGCAGGCCUAACACAUGCAAGUCGAGCGCCCGUGGCAACACGGGAGCGGCAGACGGGAGAGUAACACGUGGGAACGUACCCUUUGGUUCGGAACAACCCAGGGAAACUUGGGCUAAUACCGGAUAAGCCCUUACGGGGAAAGAUUUAUCGCCGAAGGAUCGGCCCGCGUCUGAUUAGCUAGUUGGUGGGGUAACGGCCCACCAAGGCGACGAUCAGUAGCUGGUCUGAGAGGAUGAUCAGCCUCACUGGGACUGAGACACGGCCCAGACUCCUACGGGAGGCAG